CUGAGUCUUGUUGGAAUGUUCAAGGUCUGCGGCCAAAAUGUUUGCGUGCCCAAUGCUUUAAUACGCCUUCCAGAAUAUUUUCGCGAUAAUAUUCGUUCGAUUAAUACGAGCGGAGAGCGACCAUCGGCUGCUAUGGCGGCCCACACCAUCACCAUGGCCGGCGCUUGAGUUAUAGUGGCCAACCGAAGGUGCACAUUUUCAGCCGACCUCUUUGGCAAGUAAAUAUCAUCAUUUUGUUUGUUUACAAACAAAAGAUUUAUUCACAAGUGCUCUAACGAUAGCUACUUGUGGUUUUCUAGCCAAAUAUAAAGAAAACUCACUAUCACGUUUGAAUUCCAUCACGAAUAACUUUUUUUCUGUAAAAUUCUCACCAAAAUGCUUUUGUACGCUUGUAAACAAUAUAAUGAGCUGUCACUGGAAUAAUUCUAAAAGCUGUCGGACGAGUGGCCUAGAAAUGACAGCAGUAUGAGAUUGGUUGCAGUUUUUACAUCUCACCCUGUAUAACAAUCUACUUACUUUUGAAAAAAAAAAAAAAAAACAUUUUAAAAUUUUCAAUGUUUCCAAGUAUUGAUACAUCUAUCAGUACUCUUCUACCAUGGGCCCAUGGUACAAUGAUAUCAAGAGUGGCUGCGUAUGCGUAAACGAAAGCAAUCAUACAAUCUUGCUAAGCUGCGGGAAAUUCUCACCACAUAACGGAUUAUAAAAAACACGAUUUAUGUUUCUUAUUAAGACGUUUACAUUGCCUGAGUAGGAAAAACAUCAUGAUUUUAAUGGUUAUUGGAUUGGUCGAUAGACGCCAGAUUAAAUUUUG